rnacentral:rRNA from 1 species
GAUGAACGCUGGCGGCGUGCCUAGUACAUGCAAGUCGAGCGAACAGACGAGGAGCUUGCUCCUCUGACGUUAGCGGCGGACGGGUGAGUAACACGUGGAUAACCUACCUAUAAGACUGGGAUAACUUCGGGAAACCGGAGCUAAUACCGGAUAAUAUAUUGAACCGCAUGGUUCAAUAGUGAAAGACGGUUUUGCUGUCACUUAUAGAUGGAUCCGCGCCGCAUUAGCUAGUUGGUAAGGUAACGGCUUACCAAGGCAACGAUGCGUAGCCGACCUGAGAGGGUGAUCGGCCACACUGGAACUGAGACACGGUCCAGACUCCUACGGGAGGCAGCAGUAGGGAAUCUUCCGCAAUGGGCGAAAGCCUGACGGAGCAACGCCGCGUGAGUGAUGAAGGUCUUCGGAUCGUAAAACUCUGUUAUUAGGGAAGAACAAAUGUGUAAGUAACUAUGCACGUCUUGACGGUACCUAAUCAGAAAACCACGGCUAACUACGUG